CAUCAAUUGAGAUGAUCAUAUGAUUUUUAUCCUUGGCUCUAUUGAUAUAGUGUAUUACAUUGAUUGAUUUGUGUAUGCUGAACCAUCCCUGCAUUGCUGGGUUGAAUCCCACUUGGUCAGGGUUUAUGAUCUUCUUGAUGAUCUUCUGCAUUCUGUUUGCCAGUAUCUCAUUAAGGAUUUUUGCAUCUAUGUUCAUUAGUGAGAUUGGUCUAUAGUUUGGUUGGGUCUUUCUCUGCUUUGGGGAUCAAGGUGAUGCUUCCUUCCAGGAAUGAAUUUGGGAGUAUUGCUGCCCUUUCAAUUUCAUUGAAGAGUUUAAACAGUAGUGACAGUAGUUCCUCUCUAAAUGUCUUGUAGAAUUCAGCAGUGAAGCCAUCAGGACCCAGGCUUUUCUUAGUUGGACUGGCAGGAACUGUGGGUGGAUGAUGCCAUCUGGAAGUUGCUGUUCUCCAUGAUAUUCUUUGUCAUCAUGAUUCUCUGGCAACCAUCGACAAAUAACCAAAGGUUCUUGGACUCUUUAUUCUGUUGAGCCUGACAUGUCUAGUCUUUAUUGGGGCUGUUUCAUCCUGCUUGUGUGGCUGACCUUUCAUUUCCAACCCUUCCUGGUGGCCGAGCUAAUGGCUUCAGUCUCCAUUUCUUCCAUGAGAGACUUUUGUUUGUAUUUUCAUUGUAAUUUACAUAGAAAUUUAUUUCUGAUGUUAUCUUGUAGGUUUUACAAGCAAGUAAACAAGCUUAUGUGAAAAUGUUGAUGUCUAUUCUAAGCACCCAUUACAUAUUUGAUAUUUUAUUUUAUUGAUAUCUUAUUUUCCUGCUAAGUACACAUUAUACAAUAUAAUAAGACAUUCCCGACAAAAGAAGAAGACAAGAAAAGUUACAAAAAACAGAUUCACUGAGAGAGAAAUAGGGCAAUCCAUUCCUUUCACAAUAAGGUACAAGAACAGCCUGCCACAUAGGAAAGAAAAGCUAAGCACGUGUGGUAUCAGUGUAAGACUUGUGUAUGGAACAUGCAGUUGUCCUGUUUGAAGGCUGCUGUGGGUGUGACAGUUGAAGUAAAGAUUAUGUUUGUUGUAGAGUUCUUUUGGUAUUUUUAUUGUAGCUCAUAUAAGAAUUUUUUGGGGGUACCAGAAAUCAAACUCAGGACCUUGUGCUUGCCAGACAGGUCCAGAGCUCAUAUAGGAAUUUAUUCCUGUUAUAUUUUAGAUUUUGAUUUUGUGAACAAAUAUUUGAUGUUGAAAAUGAUGUUUAAACUGGUAUACACAAGUCACACUGGAUGCUGGGGUGUGUCUUUCCUUUCCCUGGAGGGACUCAUGAGUGCUGAGAUACAGCUGGGGUACAUGAUGGCGCACACCUGGAAUUCCCCCACUGGGAACCUGAGUUUGAGCCUGGCCUGAGGUACAGUGUGCAUCUGAAAUCUGGAUUACAGAGCAAGAUCCUGUCUCAAAAAGAGUUGUUUAGUGUUUCAGUACAAAGGGAGUAAAAAUCCUGAGCUGUUAUCGGUAUCUUUCAGAGGCAUAAUGAAGGACCCAGGGGGGCUUGUCCUCCUUUGCUCUAGAGACUUAGCAAAGGCUGACAGCCACGCAGAUGGUUAGAAUUAAAGUAACACUGCCCCAGUUUUGGUAUGGCAGAGGUCAUGGAAUGAGUCUGGUGGCAACUGUUCCACCCAUUCUAUUAUGAAGAUGCAGGUCAAACACAUCAAAGGUUCUCUUAGCUGAAAAUGAAGACCCAGCACUCCUUUAGGAAAAUGUUUCAUACCACACACAAAGUCAGAGUUGUUGGAAAGGAGAUUUUAUUUUCUUCUUCCUAUGCUAUGGAAGAACAUUAUGUUCCUGUUUCAUUUCCUCCCUCAAGGAGAAAAAGGAUAGCAGUUCUCUGGGUCUCAGGACUAAGCUGCUCCCACAGGUCCUAGCCAAGACAAGACACGGAGACUGGUGACUGACUCCUAUCUGCCAGCUAGCUGAUCAACCACCACUGAAGGGCAGACAAGUGACUGAAAGGCAAGUUGUAGACUUGGCCUCAGAGACCAACAGUUCAAACCGUGAGGUGAUCAAAAUGAUAAAGUAAACAGCACCCAGGAUGCAGCUGUCCACGGAGCCCGCAUCUCUGCAUUCUGGCCACUUAAGUUAAGCAGUGUCUAAAGGGGCACAGCCUCCCAGCCUGUCACAGGAAUGGUCAACUCCAGGCCCAAGGCUCUCUGACCAUUCUCCUUGGCUUUGACUUUCAAGUGAAAGGGCAGGGUUCUAGCAAAUCCUCCAAGCCAAGCCAGUCCAAGGAAGGUGUACCAUGGCAGAGGCUCUGGACAUACACAGGGAACCCUAUGUACAGAACCCCUCUCAGGGGCUCUUCAGGGCUCUGAAGCUGAACCCUCAUCUGAACCACCUAAGCAGCCAAGUGAAUUACAAGGAGGCAAAGUAGCUCAAUGGAAGUGUGAACAGGUGGAUGGCCAGGGACUAAGACCCAGGAGACAGUAAGUUUCCUCAGCAGAGCUCUUCCAAACAUGAGCUUCAAGGUUUCUUUCCUUUUCAAAAAGUCACAACCAAAAUCCUGCUGUCCUGAACUCGUUUUCUAGGAAUGAGCAACAGGGAAGAACCAAAAUAAACUUGGGAUAAUGAUGAGUGUAUUUUUAGGCUAAGUGUGUGGUUUGCUAAUUGAGAAGGUACCAAAAAGAUCUCCAGACAGAGAAGUGGGAGCACUUGCUAUUCCUUCAGGCAAAAGCGGAGCUACUGAACAGAAAGAGUGGUGAGGCAGCCACUGCAUCUUUCCCAUUUUUUAAAGGGAAGUAUGUGUGACAUGUUGCCUUCUCCAUCCCAGCCUCUCAGAGAACCAGCUGCCUUCCAUAUUUUAUGAGGAAAAUUGUAAACCCACCAGUACCCGGGCUGAGUUCCCACUGCUGCUAGUUCUGAGGACGUAUGAGACAGGGUCUUGCUUGUAGGAUGACAAAGUUACAGUUUGGAUUUUGUGAAGCAUAGUUAAAAGUCAGAGCUGCCCCUAAAGACACAAAAUAAACUUAUUUCCCUUCCUAAAAAAAUGUACAAAAAGAGAAAAUGGUGUUUUAUUUGAAAUGUGCAAUACAUAUUAUGAAUCGAAUGCUUUGUUGAUAUUUUAUGUUCCUGUUUACUACAAAUUGUAUAAUAAGAACCUCCUGACAAAACAGCAAGAUAGCAAGAUGUCUACUAUGUCCUACAAAAAAGAUAGGAAAGCAAAACACAUGUGCUAUCAGUGUAAAUGAUACAUGCAUGCUGUUUUCAUGUGUGAAGACUGCUUUAGGUAUGAUAAUUGAAGUAAAGAUUAUUUUUGUUGUAAAGUUCUAUUGGUAUUUUCAUUAUAAUGAUGGAGCAAUAAUACACAAUAAGAUUGGCCCUUGCCUUUCCCUUGCCUUGCCUCCAUUUUUUUUUUUUUUUCCACAAAAUGUUUUGUCUCAGAAAUGUGACAGUUUGUGCUGCUGGGCAGCAGCUCCUGCCCAAUGUAUCAAAAUGUUUUGUGACUGAAUUAUGUGACCUUUCAGGAAUGUUCUGUUAAAUUCUGCCCCUCUGCUUCAGGAAUGUUCUGUAACUCUGCCCUCCUUGCUUCAGUGUGCAUGCUCACCUAUCCUGUAGAUCCCUAUUUAAGGAGGCUCUCAUUUCUGGUAGAGCGCUCACACUUCAAGUAUGAACUCCUCUGAGCCUGCCAGUGUAAUAAACGUUUUCUCCACCCUCUUCGAGUGACCAUCAGAUUCUAGAGUCUUCAAAUUGAGAGAGCUGGGGUCCAGAUCUGC
rnacentral:lncRNA from 1 species